rnacentral:lncRNA from 1 species
AUGAAAGGGGCGCCUGGAUGGCUCAGUGGGUUAAAGCCUCUGUCUUCGGCUCAGGUCAUGAUCCCAGGGUCCUGGGAUCAAGUCCCACGUAAGGUUCCCUCUUCUUCUGGAAGCAUGGAAGCCUGCUUCUCCCUCUCCCACUUCCCCUGCUUGUGUUCCCUCUCUUGCUAUGUAUCCCUCUGUCAAAUAAAUUUUAAAAAUCCUUAAGAAAAUUGAACAAUCCUGUAAUAAUACAUAUGUUUAAUUACAUUUAACCCAGUCAUUUUUAAAUCUUACUUGAUCAUAGAAAUUUUUUUCAUAAAUUACCACUUGAUUUUGGAAAAAUACAGUCUUAAAAGGACUGAAAAAUUCUCUAUUUUUUUGUUAACAAUGCUAUUAAGGCCAAAGAAUAAAGAUUUUGGAACACUGGAUUUUCUCCCAGUGACGUUUCUUGAAAUAUGGAAAG